AGCAAUUAGUGAGACUCCGUGGGCGUAGGACCCUCCGAGCCAGGUGCGGAUAUAAUCUCGUGGUGCACCGUUUUUUAAGCCCGUCGGAAAAGCGGAGUAUUCGGGUGGGAGUGACCCGAUUUUCCAGGUGCUGUCCGUCACCCCUUUCUUUGACUGGGAAAGGGAACUCCCUGACCCCUUGCGCUUCCCAAGUGAGGCAAUGCCUCGCCCUGCUUCGGCUCGCGCAAGGUGAGUGCACCCACUGACCUGCGCCCACUGUCUGGCGCUCCCUAGUGAGAUGAACCCGGUACCUCAGAUGGAAAUGCAGAAAUCACCGUCUUCUGCGUGGCUCACGCUGGGAGCUGUAGACCGGAGCUGUUCCUAUUCGGCCAUCUUGGCUCCAAAAUCCAGCCAUAUUUUGAGAUUCUCCUAUGUACCUGAAUCUUCAGAGAGCAUAGGAGACGGACAAACUCCCUGACCAAGGAAUGGGAGACUGGAGGAACCCG
rnacentral:lncRNA from 1 species